rnacentral:rRNA from 1 species
UUCGGGGCAGAGCGCAGUUAUUAGACCAAAACCAGCCGUAUUCUUCGGGGUACGCUCUUUUGGUGACUCUGGAUAACCUUCAGCCGAUCGCAUGGCCUCGUGCCGGCGACGUAUCUUUCAAGUGUCUGCCCUAUCAACUUUCGAUGGUACGUGAUAUGCCUACCAUGGUGAUAACGGGUAACGGGGAAUCAGGGUUCGAUUCCGGAGAGGGAGCCUGAGAAAUGGCUACCACAUCCAAGGAUAGCAGCAGGCGCGCAAAUUACCCACUCCCAGCUUGGGGAGGUAGUGACGAAAAAUAACAAUGCGGGACUCUAAGAGGCCCCGUAAUUGGAAUGAGUACACCUUAAAUCGUUUAACGAGUAUCAAUUGGAGGGCAAGUCUGGUGCCAGCAGCCGCGGUAAUUCCAGCUCCAAUAGCGUAUAUUAAAGUUGCUGCAGUUAAAAAGCUCGUAGUUGGAUCUGGGGCUUGAGGUCGCUGUCUAUCGUUUCGGCGAUGACGGUGAUGCUCAGCUCUGCUUGCCGGUGACUGUUGCGGUGUUCUUCACUGAGCGCUGUAGCAGCACGGCACGUUUACUUUGAAAAAAUUAGGGUGCUCAAAGCGUGCUUGUCGCUUGAAUAAUGUUGCAUGGAAUAAUGGAAUAGGACCUCGGUUCUAUUUUGUUGGUUUUCGGAGCUUGAGGUAAUGAUUAAGAGGGACGAACGGGGGCAUUCGUAUUGCGGUGUUAGAGGUGAAAUUCUUGGAUCGCCGCAAGACGGACUACUGCGAAAGCAUUUGCCAAGAACGCUUUCAUUAAUUAAGAACGAAAGUCAGAGGUUCGAAGACGAUCAGACACCGUCCUAGUUCUGACCAUAAACGAUGCCGACCAGCGAUCCGUAGUGGUUGCCUUAUGGACCCUACGGGCAGCCUCCGGGAAACCAAAGUAUUUGGGUUCCGGGGGAAGUAUGGUUGCAAAGCUGAAACUUAAAGGAAUUGACGGAAGGGCACACCAGGAGUGGAGCCUGCGGCUUAAUUUGACCCAACACGGGAAAACUCACCCGGUCCGGACACCGUAGGAUUGACAGACUGAUAGCUCUUUCUUGAUUCGGUGGAUGGUGGUGCAUGGCCGUUCUUAGUUGGUGGAGUGAUUUGUCUGGUUAAUUCCGAUAACGAACGAGACUCUAGCCUGCUAAGUAGUGUUGCUAUUGUUAUAUGGUUGACACUUCUUAGAGGGACAAGUGGCAUUUAGCCACGCGAAAUUGAGCAAUAACAGGUCUGUGAUGCCCUUAGAUGUCCGGGGCCGCACGCGCGCUACACUGGAGAAGUCAGCGUGUGUUAUCCAAGUCCGAAAGGACUGGGUAAUCCGUUGAACCUUCUUCGUGCUUGGGACUGUGGCUUGGAACUAUUCCACAUGAACGAGGAAUUCCUAGUAAUUGCAAGUCAUAAGCUUGCGUUGAUUACGUCCCUGCCCUUUGUACACACCGCCCGUCGCUACUACCGAUUGAAUGGUUUAGCAAGGUCCUCGGAUCGUGGCCGUAGGGGCACGCAAGUGUUUCUGCGGUUUGCGAGAAGACGACCAAACUUGAUCAUUUAGAGGAAGUAAAAGUCGUAACAAGGUU